ACAGAUAAUCGAUUAUUCUGGCAAAAAAAAAAAUUCAUAAGUUACUGGACCAGGUUAGUCGAUUAACUUAAAAGUUAAUCGAGUAACCUGGUAUAUAGAAAAACGUUUCAAACUUACUGGACCGUGUUAAGUUAAUCGACUAAUAUGGCUUGCGGAAAUAUACAGAAUAUUUCUGAAAAAUAAGUUAGCCGACUAACAUAAAAGUUAGUCGAUUAACUUUUAACACUGUCUUUAAGUUAGUCGACUAACAGAA
rnacentral:lncRNA from 1 species